rnacentral:rRNA from 2 species
AGAGUUUGAUCCUGGCUCAGGAUGAACGCCGGCGGUGUGCCUAAUACAUGCAAGUCGAACGCGUUGGCCCAAUUGAUUGAUGGUGCUUGCACCUGAUUGAUUUUGGUCGCCAACGAGUGGCGGACGGGUGAGUAACACGUAGGUAACCUGCCCAGAAGCGGGGGACAACAUUUGGAAACAGAUGCUAAUACCGCAUAACAGCGUUGUUCGCAUGAACAACGCUUAAAAGAUGGCUUCUCGCUAUCACUUCUGGAUGGACCUGCGGUGCAUUAGCUUGUUGGUGGGGUAACGGCCUACCAAGGCGAUGAUGCAUAGCCGAGUUGAGAGACUGAUCGGCCACAAUGGGACUGAGACACGGCCCAUACUCCUACGGGAGGCAGCAGUAGGGAAUCUUCCACAAUGGGCGCAAGCCUGAUGGAGCAACACCGCGUGAGUGAAGAAGGGUUUCGGCUCGUAAAGCUCUGUUGUUAAAGAAGAACACGUAUGAGAGUAACUGUUCAUACGUUGACGGUAUUUAACCAGAAAGUCACGGCUAACUACGUGCCAGCAGCCGCGGUAAUACGUAGGUGGCAAGCGUUAUCCGGAUUUAUUGGGCGUAAAGAGAGUGCAGGCGGUU